rnacentral:sRNA from 2 species
GCUUACUUCAUUGGGGAGUAGCCUCUAUUUACGCAAAGUAAAUAGGUGAUGAUCAACAUAAUUGCUCAACAGAGCAUGGUCAUCAUAGCUUAAACGCUUCCAAGCGUUCCAGAGUU